rnacentral:rRNA from 1 species
AGUGAACGCUGGCGGCGUGCCUAAUACAUGCAAGUCGUAGGAAGUGGCGCACGGGUGAGUAAUAUAUAGCUAAUCUGCCCCUUGCUGGUGGACCACAGUUCGAAAUGACUGCUAAUACAACAUAGCAACGGAUGGGACUAUAUCGUAUCCGGGAGUCGGUGGGGUAACGGCCUACCGAGGCUAUGACGCGUAACUGGUCUGAGAGGAUGACCAGGCACAGUGGAGCUUGGACACCGUCCAAGCUCCUACGGGAGGCAGCAGUAGGGAAUAUUGCGCAAUGGGGGAAACCCUGACGCAGCAACCCCGCGUGGAGGAUGACACUUUUCUGAGCGUAAACUCCUUUUGUUAGGGAAGCGGUACCUAACGUAUAAGAACCGGCUAACGCCGGGCCAGCAGCCGCGGUAAUUC